rnacentral:rRNA from 1 species
CUUGUACACACCGCCCGUCACAUCACGAAAGUAGGUUGUACUAGAAGUGGCCGGGCCAACCCGCAAGGGAGGCAGGUUACCACGGUAUGAUUUAUGAUUGGGGUG